rnacentral:rRNA from 1 species
GCCAUCCUUGAAAUACCACCCUUUAACGUUUGAUGUUCUAACCCGGGUCCAUAAUCUGGAUCGGGGACCGUGUCUGGUGGGUAGUUUGACUGGGGCGGUCUCCUCCCAAAGAGUAACGGAGGAGCACGAAGGUUGGCUAAGCAUGGUCGGACAUCAUGCGGUUAGUGCAAAGGCAUAAGCCAGCUUGACUGCGAGAGUGACGGCUCGAGCAGGUACGAAAGUAGGUCUUAGUGAUCCGGUGGUUCUGAAUGGAAGGGCCAUCGCUCAACGGAUAAAAGGUACUCCGGGGAUAACAGGCUGAUACCGCCCAAGAGUUCAUAUCGACGGCGGUGUUUGGCACCUCGAUGUCGGCUCAUCACAUCCUGGGGCUGAAGUAGGUCCCAAGGGUAUGGCUGUUCGCCAUUUAAAGUGGUACGCGAGCUGGGUUUAGAACGUCGUGAGACAGUUCGGUCCCUAUCUGCCGUGGGCGCUGGAAGAUUGAGAGGGGUUGCUCCUAGUACGAGAGGACCGGAGUGAACGCACCACUGGUGUACGGGUUGUGAUGCCAAUUGCAUUGCCCGGUAGCUAAGUGCGGAAGAGAUAACCGCUGAAAGCAUCUAAGCGGGAAACUUGCCUCGAGAUGAGUCUUCCCUGACCCUUUAAGGGUCCUGAAGGAACGUUUGAGACUAAGACGUUGAU